UACAGAGGUCCCAAGCGUUGUUCGGAUUCACUGGGCGUAAAGGGUGCGUAGGCGGUCGGGUAAGUCUGAUGUGAAAUCUCCAAGCUCAACUUGGAAAUGGCAUCGGAUACUAUUCGGCUCGAGGAAUGGAGGGGAGACUGGAAUACUUGGUGUAGCAGUGAAAUGCGUAGAUAUCGUAAGGAAGACCAGUGGCGAAGGCGGGUCUCUGGACAGUUCCUGACGCUGAGGCACGAAGGUCAGGGGAGCAAACGGG
rnacentral:rRNA from 1 species